rnacentral:tRNA from 1 species
GCUCUUGUAGUUUAAUUAAAAUUUUAAUUUUGUAAAUUAAAGAUGUAUCCCAAGGGCA